AGAGUUUGAUCCUGGSUCAGGACGAACGCUGGCGGCGUGCCUAACACAUGCAAGUCGAACGGAAGUUAGAUGUUAGACUUUAGGGCUUAGAUAUUAGACGAACGAAGGGAAGGUUUAACGCAAAAACCCUUCGCAAAAUCUAAACAAGAUUUAGAAAGCAGAAGAGCGCAACUCAUUUGGCAUCUAAGCACUAAGCACUAAGCACUAAAGUCUAAUGUCUAACUUUAGUGGCGGACGGGUGAGUAACACGUGAGCAACCUGCCUUUCGGAGGGGGAUACCGUCUGGAAACGGACGUUAAUACCGCAUAACAUAGUAUUAUCGCAUGGUAAUAUUAUCAAAGGAGCAAUCCGCUGAGAGAUGGGCUCGCGUCUGAUUAGCUAGUUGGUGGGGUAACGGCUCACCAAGGCGACGAUCAGUAGCCGGACUGAGAGGUUGAACGGCCACAUUGGGACUGAGACACGGCCCAGACUCCUACGGGAGGCAGCAGUGGGGAAUAUUGCACAAUGGGGGAAACCCUGAUGCAGCAACGCCGCGUGUGGGAAGAAGGUCUUCGGAUUGUAAACCAUUGUCAUCGGUGAAGAUAAUGACGGUAGCCGAUGAAGAAGCUCCGGCUAACU
rnacentral:rRNA from 1 species